UACGUAGGGUGCAAGCGUUGUCCGGAAUUAUUGGGCGUAAAGAGCGUGUAGGCGGCUUUACAGGUCCGUUGUGAAAACUCGAGGCUCAACCUCGAGACGCCGGUGGAAACCGUAAGGCUAGAGUCCGGAAGAGGAGAGUGGAAUUCCUGGUGUAGCGGUGAAAUGCGCAGAUAUCAGGAGGAACACCCGUGGCGAAAGCGGCUCUCUGGGACGGUACUGACGCUGAGACGCGAAAGCGUGGGAGCAACAG
rnacentral:rRNA from 1 species